rnacentral:rRNA from 1 species
CGAAAGCCUGACGGAGCAAUACCGCGUGAGGGAAGAAGGCUCUUGGUUCGUAAACCUCUUUUGUUUGGGAAGAAACCUGGACGGUACCAAACGAAUAAGCAUCGGCUAACUCCGUGCCAGCAGCCGCGUUAAGACGGAGGAUGCAAGCGUUAUCCGGAAUUAUUGGGCGUAAAGCGUCCGUAGGUGUUAGUUCAAGUCUGUGGUUAAAGCGUGGAGCUUAACUCCAUAAAGCCCAUGGAUACUGAACAACUAGAGUGAGUUAGGGGUAGAGGGAAUUCUCGGUGUAGCGGUGAAAUGCGUAGAUAUCGGGAAGAACACCGGUGGCGAAAGCGCUCUACUGGACCUUAACUGACACUGAGGGACGAAAGCUAGUGGGAGCG